rnacentral:rRNA from 1 species
GAUGAACGCUGGCGGCGUGCCUAACACAUGCAAGUCGAACGGAAAGACAGGAGGGCUUGCUCUCUAGCGGGCGCGUGGCGGGCGGGUGUGGCAUACAUCGAACUCUGCUCAGUGAUGGGGGAAACCUAAGGGAACCUUACCCUAAUACGGCUUAUGUCCUUAAGGUGAAGGUUGGAGAGCGCAAGACGUCUCGGCUGUGGCUGAGCCGUGGUCGCAUUAGCUAGUUGGUGGGGUAAAGGCUUACCAAGGCGACGAUCCGUAGCGGGUGUGAGAGGUGGAUCGGCCACACUGGAACUGAGACACGGUCCAGACUCCUACGGGAGGCAGCAGUAGGGAAUAUUGGGCAAUGGGCGGAAGCCUGACCGAGCAACGCCGCGUGGGUGAAGAAGGCCUUCGGGUGGUAAAGCCCUGUUGUUGGGAAAGAAAGCGUUCAGGAGAAGCUACGCGGGUGAUGACGGUACCUAAAGAAUAAGCACCGGCUAACUACGUG